rnacentral:rRNA from 1 species
UACGUAGGGGGCAAGCGUUGUCCGGAUUUAUUGGGCGUAAAGAGCGUGUAGGCGGCCAGACAGGUCCGUUGUGAAAACUCGAGGCUCAACCUCGAGACGCCGGUGGAAACCGUAAAGCUAGAGUCCGGAAGAGGAGAGUGGAAUUCCUGGUGUAGCGGUGGAAUGCGCAGAUAUCAGGAGGAACACCCGUGGCGAAAGCGGCUCUCUGGGACGGUACUGACGCUGAGACGCGAAAGCGUGGGGAGCAAACAGG